rnacentral:rRNA from 1 species
UACGGAGGGUGCAAGCGUUAUCCGGAUUCACUGGGUUUAAAGGGUGCGUAGGCGGGUUGGUAAGUCCGUGGUGAAAUCUCCAAGCUUAACUUGGAAACUGCCGUGGAUACUAUCAAUCUUGAAUAUAGUGGAGGUGAGCGGAAUAUGUCAUGUAGCGGUGAAAUGCUUAGAUAUGACAUAGAACACCUAAUUGCGAAGGCAGCUUACUACACAGUUAUUGACACUGAGGCACGAAAGCGUGGGGAUCAAACAGG